rnacentral:rRNA from 1 species
AGUGGCGAACGGGUGAGUAACACGUGAGUAACCUGCCCUUGACUCUGGGAUAAGCACUGGAAACGGUGUCUAAUACCGGAUACGACCUUCAGCCGCAUGGCUAGGGGGUGGAAAGAAUUUUGGUCAAGGAUGGACUCGCGGCCUAUCAGCUUGUUGGUGAGGUAAUGGCUCACCAAGGCGACGACGGGUAGCCGGCCUGAGAGGGUGACCGGCCACACUGGGACUGAGACACGGCCCAGACUCCUACGGGAGGCAGCAGUGGGGAAUAUUGCACAAUGGGCGAAAGCCUGAUGCAGCAACGCCGCGUGAGGGAUGACGGCCUUCGGGUUGUAAACCUCUUUUAGUAGGGAAGAAGCGAAAGUGACGGUACCUGCAGAAAAAGCACCGGCUAACUACGUGCCAGCAGCCGCGGUAAUACGUAGGGUGCAAGCGUUAUCCGGAAUUAUUGGGCGUAAAGAGCUCGUAGGCGGUUUGUCGCGUCUGCUGUGAAAACUGGGGGCUCAACUCCCAGCCUGCAGUGGGUACGGGCAGACUAGAGUGCGGUAGGGGAGAUUGGAAUUCCUGGUGUAGCGGUGGAAUGCGCAGAUAUCANGAGGAACACCGAUGGCGAANGCAGAUCUCUGGGCCGUAACUGACGCUGANGAGCGAAAGCAUGGGGAGCGAACAGGAUUAGAUACCCUGGUAGUCCAUGCCGUAAACGUUGGGAACUAGAUGUANGGGCCAUUCCACGGUUUCUGUGUCGCAGCUAACGCAUUAAGUUCCCCGCCUGGGGAGUACG